AAGGAGCUUGCUCCUUUGACGUUAGCGGCGGACGGGUGAGUAACACGUGGGCAACCUGCCCCUUAGACUGGGAUAACUCCGGGAAACCGGAGCUAAUACCGGAUAAUCCCUUUCUCCACCUGGAGAGAGGGUGAAAGAUGGCUUCGGCUAUCACUAAGGGAUGGGCCCGCGGCGCAUUAGCUAGUUGGUAAGGUAACGGCUU
rnacentral:rRNA from 1 species